GCCUGGGUGGCUCAGUCGGUUAAGCGUCCGACUUCAGCUCAGGUCAUGAUCUCGCGGUCUGUGGGUUCGAGCCCCACGUCAGGCU
rfam:Felis catus isolate Cinnamon breed Abyssinian chromosome B3, whole genome shotgun sequence.